rnacentral:rRNA from 1 species
GAUCAUGGCUCAGGAUGAACGCUAGCUACAGGCUUAACACAUGCAAGUCGAGGGGAAACGACAUCGAAAGCUUGCUUUUGAUGGGCGUCGACUGGCGCACGGGUGAGUAACGCGUAUCCAACCUGCCCCAUCACUUGGGAAUAACCUUGCGAAAGUAAGACUAAUGCCCAAUGGCAUCCCACGAAGGCAUCCGAAUGGGAUUAAAGAUUUAUCGGUGAUGGAUGGGGAUGCGU